GAUGAACGCUAGCGAUAGGCCUAACACAUGCAAGUCGAGGGGCAGCACGGGAGUAGCAAUACAACUGGUGGCGACCGGCGCACGGGUGAGUAACGCGUAUGUAAUCUACCUACAACAGGGGGAUAACCCGGAGAAAUCCGGACUAAUACCGCAUAAAACAGGGGUCCCGCCUGGGACUAUUUGUUAAAGAUUUAUCGGUUGUAGAUGAGCAUGCGUUCCAUUAGAUAGUUGGUAAGGUAACGGCUUACCAAGUCAGCGAUGGAUAGGGGAACUGAGAGGGUUGUCCCCCACACUGGAACUGCGACACGGACCAGACUCCUACGGUAGGCAGCAGUGAGGAAUAUUGGUCAAUGGGCGAGAGCCUGAACCAGCCAAAUCGCGUGAAGGAAGACUGCCUUAUGGGUUGUAAACUUCUUUUACAGGGGAAUAAAAAGACAUACGAGUAUGUCAUUGCAUGUACCCUGUGAAUAAGCAUCGGCUAACUCCGUGCCAGCCGCCGCCGUAA
rnacentral:rRNA from 1 species